rnacentral:rRNA from 1 species
CAGUCGCCACGGGAACACGAAGGGUGCAAGCGUUAAUCGGAAUUACUGGGCGUAAAGCGUGCGUAGGCGGUUUGUUAAGUCUGUUGUGAAAUCCCCGGGCUCAACCUGGGAAUGGCAAUGGAUACUGGCAAGCUAGAGUGUGUCAGAGGAUGGUGGAAUUCCCGGUGUAGCGGUGAAAUGCGUAGAGAUCGGGAGGAACAUCAGUGGCGAAGGCGGCCAUCUGGGACAACACUGACGCUGAGGCACGAAAGCGUGGGGAGCAAACAGGAUUAGAUACCGUGUAGUCCCUGUCUCUUAUACA